CCUACGGGAGGCAGCAGUGAGGAAUAUUGGUCAAUGGACGAGAGUCUGAACCAGCCAAGUAGCGUGAAGGAUGACUGCCCUAUGGGUUGUAAACUUCUUUUAUAUGGGAAUAAAAUGUUCCACGUGUGGGAUUUUGUAUGUACCAUAUGAAUAAGGAUCGGCUAACUCCGUGCCAGCAGCCGCGGUAAUACGGAGGAUCCGAGCGUUAUCCGGAUUUAUUGGGUUUAAAGGGAGCGUAGGUGGAUUGUUAAGUCAGUUGUGAAAGUUUGCGGCUCAACCGUAAAAUUGCAGUUGAAACUGGCAGUCUUGAGUACAGUAGAGGUGGGCGGAAUUCGUGGUGUAGCGGUGAAAUGCUUAGAUAUCACGAAGAACUCCGAUUGCGAAGGCAGUUCACUGGACUGCAACUGACACUGAGGCUCGAAAGUGUGGGUAUCAAACAGGAUCAGAUACCCCAGUAGUC
rnacentral:rRNA from 1 species